GGGAUGUUGUUAUGCACUGGAUUUAUAGCAAGGUUUGGCUAAUCACCAAACCUUUU
rnacentral:ncRNA from 1 species